ensembl:snoRNA
CUGCAUCCACUGAUAGACCUUGAACAAGUUGCUGUUGUUCAUUUGGUUUGCACUAGGAUGCAAAAGAAAAUAAUCCCAGCGCUUUCUGUCUGCCUCUGUGGCAGCCAGAUUGAAUAGGGGAGAACAUUG